rnacentral:rRNA from 1 species
GACAGAGGAUGCAAGCGUUAUCCGGAAUGAUUGGGCGUAAAGCGUCUGUAGGUGGCCAGGUAGGUCUGCUGUGAAAACUCGAGGCUCAACCUCGAGACGUCGGCGGAAACCAUCUGGCUAGAGUCCGGAAGAGGAGAGUGGAAUUCCUGGUGUAGCGGUGAAAUGCGCAGAUAUCAGGAAGAACACCCGUGGCGAAGGCGGCUCUCUGGGACGGUACUGACGCUGAGACGCGAAAGCGUGGGGAGCGAACAGG